AUUGAACGCUGGCGGCAUGCCUUACACAUGCAAGUCGAACGGCAGCACGGGUGCUUGCACCUGGUGGCGAGUGGCGAACGGGUGAGUAAUAUAUCGGAACGUACCUUAUUGUGGGGGAUAACGCAGCGAAAGCUGUGCUAAUACCGCAUAAUCCCUAAGGGGGAAAGCGGGGGACCGUAAGGCCUCGCGCAAUUAGAGCGGCCGAUACCUGAUUAGCUAGUUGGUGAGGUAAAGGCUCACCAAGGCAACGAUCAGUAGCUGGUCUGAGAGGACGGUCAGCCACACUGGGGCUAGGACACGGACCAGACUCCUACGGGAGGCAGCAGUGGGGAAGUUUGGACAAUGGGGGGAACCCUGAUCCAGCAAUGCCGCGUGAGUGAAGAAGGCCUUCGGGUUGUAAAGCUCUGUUGUCAGGGGAGAAACAGCAGCUCUAAUACAGUAUGCGAAUGACGGUACCUGAAGAAUAAGCACCGGCUAACCACGUGCCAGCCGCCGCCGUAA
rnacentral:rRNA from 1 species